rnacentral:rRNA from 1 species
CGCCUCUUGCUAACAAAGGAAGUACUAGAGGUCCCGCCUGCCCUGUGACCACAAAGUUUAACGGCCGCGGUAUCCUGACCGUGCGAAGGUAGCGUAAUCAUUUGUCUUUUAAAUAGAGACCUGUAUGAAUGGCAUAACGAGGGUUUAACUGUCUCCUUCCCCCAGUCAAUGAAAUUGAUCUGCCCGUGCAGAAGCGGACAUAAAUACAUAAGACGAGAAGACCCUAUGGAGCUUUAGACAAAAGAUCAAACAUGUAAAGAAACCAAAACAACCAAAAGGAACACGAAGGCCACAAAACCCAACGUAAACUGAUCUAAAUGUCUUCGGUUGGGGCGACCAUGGGGGAAAGAAAAGCCCCCACGAGGAACAGGGACAACCCCUAAACUAAGAGGGACACCUCUAAGCAACAGAA